rnacentral:rRNA from 1 species
GCGGAGGAGCAUGUGGUUUAAUUCGAUGAUACGCGAGGAACUUACCUGGGCUCGAACGUAAGAUGACUGUAGGUGAAAGCUUACAUCUCUUCGGAGCAUUUUACGAGGUGCUGCAUGGUUGUCGUCAGCUCGUGCCGUGAGGUGUCGGGUUAAGUCCCAUAACGAGCGCAACCCCUACCUUUAGUUGCCAUCAGGUUAAGCUGGGGACUCUAAAGGAACUGCCUACGCAAGUAGUGAGGAAGGCGGGGAUGACGUCAAAUCAGCACGGCCCUUACGUCCAGGGCUACACACGUGCUACAAUGGCCGAUACAGAGGGCAGCUACCUGGUGACAGGAUGCAAAUCUCCAAAGUCGGUCUCAGUUCGGAUCGGAGUCUGCAACCCGACUCCGUGAAGUUGGAUUCGCUAGUAAUCGCGCAUCAGCCAUGGCGCGGUGAAUACGUUCCCGGGCCUU